rnacentral:lncRNA from 1 species
AAAAAUAUACACAACAUAGAAUUAACCAUUUUAUAGUUAUUACAUAUAAUGUUUAUGACACAUACAAUGCAUACAUAUUGUAUUACAAUAUGUAUGUAUACAUAUUGUAUUUUGCAACUUUAGGCAGCUACAAUCUUACAUAAUUACAACACUGCACGAUUGUACUAUGCGAUGUGCAUAUGUAAGAGGGUGUAGCCUGUGACACCAUGAAAUGUGUAACAGUAAUACAUGUGUAUCUAUGUGUGUAUAAGAUGAUAUUUUAUGGCAUUUAGUGCAUUCACAAUGCUGUCAACGUCUGGAUCCAAAACAUGGUCAUCGCUCCAAAGUGUUCCGUCCCUGUUAAGCAGAGUAUUAAUUUUUAAACUGUAAUUUUAUUAAUUUAAGUUUCUUUCCAGGGGACUGGGAGAGCUUUUGCCUAUUAUGCGUGAGGUCCUGGGUUCCAUCCCCAGCACCGCAAAACAAACAAACUUCUCAACCUGCCCAAAAGGGACGUUGUCCUGCGGCGGUCGCAUUACAACCGUCCAGUGGGGACCUGAGCUGACGCGGUCCGGCCGCCGAUCCCGCGCAGACUGUGCCUUGCUUUGGGUUUGCAGAGCACUCACAUCGACGCACGUAACCCAGGCAGGCGCUGCGAUUCCGUCGGGUGUCAUGAUCGGUCUAAGGCUGAGGCAGGCGUGGAGACGAGCGGGUCUGCACAGGUCAAGCCAUAUGUUCAGAGAUUGA